AUGAAGAGCGUAAACAAGAUGCAGCAGAUCUUCCUGAUGGAUGGUGUCACUGAAGACUUUAUGGAUAGGGGACAUGUUUGCUUCAACUGUGAGCAGAUAUUCGCUAAUCGAAAAUGCCUGGAGGACCAUGUGUGUCCCAAAACAAGUUUCAUUUGCUCUUGUGGAACAGAGUUUACUCUGUACAAUGACAUGCUGGAGCACAGCGACACACAUGAACCAGGGCAUCAAGCGCUUGAUCAUAGAGUCAUAAAGAAGCGCAGGUUUGAGAAGUACAAAGAGGAGGAGGCGAAACUCAAAAGGCUGCAGAAAGGCGAUGUUAUUUGGAGUGCACCAUCUGUUUCAGGACGCAACACUUCAGCUAAUACUUCACAAAAUUCUGUGAGGACUCUGAAUGUUAAACAAGUACCUGAGAUGAACCCCAGUCUGUCUGAAGCAUCUCUUUCAAAUACUCUCCCCUCUGCAAAAGACACACAGAAAACUAUUUCAAGUGCUGGUGCACCGACUGUGGAUCUCUGGACACUUUAUCAGCCAGUUGUGCUUUUGAAACCAAUUCGCAAGUUUCCAAAGCCAUACACGUGUGGCAAAUGUGGACAGGGUUUUAUGUCGAAGGUCUCUCUCACUUCCCACAGCAACUCGCACGUCGCAGAUAAAGUUUGUGGAUGUAUAGGUUGUGGCCUCUUGCUCUCUAGUAGAAAGUUUGUGCCUCGCUUCCAUACUUGUACCUCCCCAACAAGUAACAGCAAAUUCAGGCUCAUCACGGCUAAACCACCACAUUUUAAGUCACCAAAUGUAAGAAAAAAUCUCUUUGCUCAGCAACGUUUGGCUACUUCUGCUGGGCAGCUUAAAAAUCACAGUCCUACUACACCUGGUAAAGGUGUUCAAGUGUCUCGUACCACCUCACCGAAGAAAAACAUUAAUAUAAAAACAUACAAAGGUAACAUUACUCAAGGGGCUCCAGUCCGUACACUUUUGCCGGCAAAGCGCCAGAAUCCCACUGCGAUCAAGGCUGUUGCUGGUGCCUCCAAGAGUUCAAACUCCAAUGAACUCAACCAAAACGGUCAGAAACAUUCUGUCUCUUCAAAUGCAGACCUCCCAGGCCCUGCAAACCAAGCUCCACUGGAUGCCGAUGCUGAGUUCAAGUGUCGGGUCUGUCAUCUGCCUUUCAAAACCCCUCUGAUACUUCAAAGGCACAAAUGUAUCAAAGCACAGGAGUUUAUGGCAAAGCAUUUGAUGGCUGGCAAAUCGCAGCAGAGAAUCACUAGGCCAGCAGUGAGACCCAUUUCUGUCCAGGUAAACGGCAACAAGAAGCCAGAAUGUUCACCCUCUGUUAGCGCAAAGAAGAACCCAAUUGCACCCGUCAAUCUGGACAAAGGAAAGUCUGACGUUCCUGUAAAUGGGAACACAGUGGUGGAUGAUGAUGAUGAUGAUGAUGACUGUUACAUUGUUGAGGGUGGGUCAGAAAAACCUGCUGAGGUGAUUUACCAAGUGACCUCAUCUGUACCCAUCAAGAGUUGA
rnacentral:lncRNA from 1 species